CCAUUCUAAGCGGUGGAUCACUC
rnacentral:rRNA from 1 species